CCCUUUCUCCUUCCCCAUUCUGAUACAUAAUAAAAACAAUUCUCGUCUUUCAGGAUCUGGCCCGUGCCUUGGCACAGGCCUCCUGGGAGAGUUCAUUGUUCUAGUCCACGCUUCCCGUUUUCUUUCGGUCCUCUCCCUUUUGGGCCCACCCUUUCCCGUUCCCCCUACACCGAGCCCCCGACCCCGCCGACCCCACAGACCCUGCUGACCCCACCGACCUCGUCCAACGCAGCCGCGCUGAGCGCCAGGAGCAGAGCCGCGCAGACCGCGCUCUCGGCUUUCCCGGUUGCCCCGCCCCACGGGACACUGCGUGCUUCGAAAUCGAUGAACCAAAAUAAAGGCUUUCAAAAAAGAACUUCUCCCUUUGAAAAUCUUUCAUGAACCUGAGAUCUUCAAAGGACUAAAAGUAUAAACAUGACUAUGUAUCGAUUCAAGAGGUCCUAAUUGAGCGCCCUGGUGUGUGCGCCAGCAGACCCUGUUCUCGGCUGGAGGACACAAGAGCGACCAUCACCUCGACCCCUGCCCUCGUGGAGCUCAGGCGCUGGACAGAGGAGGAAUCAGAAGAUGGAAGCAUCACACUCGCCCCGAAAGUGGGUCGACAGAAGUAGACUGCCGGGUCCUUCUUCCUACUCUGUCUUCAUCUGGAAGCUCAUCUGAAACCUGUCCAACAUGGGUGACCCUGCUGGUAUCUGAAUAUUGGUGGCAUAGCUUCCAGCAUCACAGCAACACGUAAGCCCUCAAAGUACAACAAACUAACAGACACAUGGGGGAACAUACAUUUUAGGAGACAGAAGAGUGUUCGUCAUGAGAAAAUGCUCUAACUGAAGGCUGAGAUGCAUCAGCUCUUAGAGAAGAAGGGGACUGCUGAGAGCGGAGUGAAGGAGCAGAAGACACAGCCCAAGGAAAUAGGAUUCUCCUCUGUGUCCCAGAGCGGCACCUGGGUGACCUGUUCCGGAUGAGCAACUCUGGGCCUCAGGCAAAUUUCAGCUUCUCAGAAAACAACCAGCACCUGUGCUUGCUGCUGGCACAAAACGGGCAACACUGCCAAGAUCUCCAAGAGAAAUGAUGGCAUCAGGAAUAAUAGUUCUGCUCUGGCCAACCAGCUGGAAAAACAGAGAGAAUGUCAACAAGUUGGUCUUAUAAACUCACCAUGACCAAAGUAAUGAGUGAUUAUCUGUAUUCUUUUUGAUAAGUUAAAUGCUUUAUGGACUGCAGUACUCAUCCCAACAUUAAAGUAAAUUUCAAUACUUAGCAUAUUUCUAGAAAGGUGAAAAAAAAAUUUUACCAUCAGUUUACAGGUGGGGAAACUGAGGUACAAAGUAGCAAAAUGACAGGCCUGAGUUUGCAGUGGCAGAGUAGAGUGUUCUGGGGCUAAUAUCCAGGUCUACUGAUUCCUGCUACAGACACCUAACUUCUUUGUCUCUCUGAGGAACAAGAUGAACUUGUACACUCUCUUCUCCUCUUCUCUAUAACAAAUAGUAGUCCUGUUGGGCAGGCUAUGACAUAUUCUAAAUUAGUUCAAUCAUUUUAAACUCUUUUGAGUUCAUAGGGCAAAGCACUAUGCUAGUUAGUUACACAAUGUGAUAAGGAAGUGAUAGUAUACAGUGGUUAAAGGACCAUCGAGACUUCUGUUGCCAACUGAGCCUUGGCUAUCUGUAGAAAAAACAUGGAUAGGUCGCUGCCUGGAGCGAGUGGUCUCUUUCUCAUGAGUUCAGAGAAGUUAAUUUUCCCUCUGUGGAUAUCACCUUCCCCUGCCUGAUACAGGCCAGAGUAAACGCAGAGAUUGAGGGCAUUUAAAGAAAACACAGAAAAUCUCUAUUAGUUAGUUAAUGCUGUGUUACAAAGCAUCCCCAAACUUAGUGGCUUAAUACAACAAAAAUUAUCUAUUAGCUCCCAGGUUUUCUGUAUGUCAGGAACUAGGGAGCAGCUUGGCUGGGCGACUGUAGCUUGAGGCAUCUCAUAGGGUUGCAGUUUGAUGGCCAAGGCUGCAGUUAUACAAAAGUUGGACUGGGACUAAGAGUGUCCACUUUCAAGGGUUCACUCUCAUGCCUGGCGAGAUUGUGCCGGCUGUAGGUAGGACUCCCUUCUUCUCCAUGUGGGUCUCAUCACUGGCUUGCUUGAGUGUGCUUGGCAUGGCAGCUGGCUUCCCCAGUGCAAGGGACCCAAUGUGACUUUACAGUAUAGCUCCAAUUGUAAUCCAGUACUACACAAUUCAUUCUAACUUUUCCCAUUUCCAUUUUUGUACCUUCCUUUUCUGUCAGUGAGAAAACUCCCAUUAUUUUCAAUACACUAUUUUGAAAAUACAUGCUUGAAUAUGUUUUGAAAAUAUUUACUUACUUGCUUGUAAAAUGGUAAUAGUAAUAGUAGCAUCAGAACCUAACUUCAGAGGGGAUAAUGACCAGAAUCAGCCCAAAGCUGGUCCCUCAGAGGUAGGGGUCAGAGAUACCUUCAUUCUCCAAUCUUUUUACCAAUUCUGACACCAGCCGUCCCUCCCAUGGCACUCACUACUUCUGUUCUGGUUUGAUAAUUUAUUGUAACGGUCACACAGAGCUCACAGACUGUACUUACAGUUAAGUGGUUUUUGAAGGGAGUAACAGGGAAAAAAAAAAAAUUUUUUUUUUUUUAUUUUUUUAACAGGGUACAACUCAGGGCCAGGAUCAACAGGCUAAAACUCAGAAUCAGGAUCAGGGAGCAUUUAGGCAAAGCAUACCUUCUUCAGUGCAGGACAGCUCUCUCAGCUCCCCUUGGCACCCUUCAGGACAGGCUCCUCUUGGCCCUGCCAUCUGUUGGCCCAGAUCUACUGCUGGGCCCGCACCUUCUGGGCCUGUUGCCCUCUUCAGUGUUAUAGCGCUUGACCUGUGUUACAGCUCUUUGGGGAAGUUUUUUCCCUCCUCUCUCUCUGCUUCUUUUUUCUUCUGAAUUUUUUCUUCCUGCUGCUUCUCUUCCUGUUUCUUUCUGACUGAAAAACCUCUGUGGAUUUGGCUGCUUGUAUAAACAAACUCCUCACCAAUUUCAAGGCACGGAUCUUCCACUAGGGCCAGGAACUGAUCAGCCUCCUCUAGAAGGACACUUUGUUUGCAUAGACUAUUGACUAAUUCCUGCAAGGUGCAUACCAGUAACAGGGCAGGCUCCAGACCAGGACCAGACAAAAAGUAUCAAACCAGCUUGUUAACAGCUCACCCAGGAAAUGCCACAAACCCUCUGGGGUAGAAAACUAGGGCAAAGGUAACUCCUCCGGGCUUAGGGGAAAAUCUCCCAAGCUGUUUUUCCAAAGAACCAAGGUGAAAAGCCACUUAAAAGAUCUCAUUUCACCACAAUGUUCAACCCCCGCAUGUAGUCGAUCUCUGACCCCUCUGGGUUGCCUCUGCCACACUGCUGUGACAUGAGGACUGCCCUACUGGAGCCUGACCAAUGAUUUUGGAUUGAGUUAGGAAGAAAGGGAGGGAGGGAGGAAUGAAGAAAGGAAAGUAGAAAGGAAGGAAGCCAAUCUUUCCCUUGAGUUGCUUUGAAUACACUACUGAGGAGAAUAGUAGUUGUAUCACUCUGUAAAUUUAUAUUUCAGUACCUGUCCUGUGACAGAAAAAUUAAUUUGCUGUGGACCGGCAUUUAUAUUCAGAUCUUUCAGCCAUGGACUCAUUUGUCCAAAUGGAUUCUUGGAAGCACAAAUAUAUAAAACAUAUGUAUUGAAUGAUGAGAGAAUAAGACCUGGAGCCCCUGUUUUCCUCAUUUAAGGCUUUACAUGCUCUGAAACCUUGUGGUACGGUCUAAAGACAGUGUCAUGGAUUGAAUUGUGUCCCCUAAAACUAUGUGUCAACUAGGUUAGGCCAUGAUUCCCAGUAUUGUGUGUUUGUCUUCCAUUUUGUGACUGACGUAAUUUUCCCAUACAUUGUAAAUCCUAAUCUCUGCCUGUGGUUAAGGAGUCAAGAGAUAAAAGGAAAGGAAAGUGGAGGGGGGGACCUCAUACCACCAAGAAAGCAGUGCCGGGAGCAGUGACAUCCUUUGGACCUGAGGUUCCUUCGAGAGAAGCUCCUCGACCAGGGGAAGUUUUAUGACAAGGACCUUGCCCCGGAGCUGACAGAGAGAAAGCCUUUCCCUCAAGCUGGCACCCUGAAUUCAGACUUGUGAACUACUAGACUGAAAUAUCAUUCCUUAAUUCAGAAUCAGGCUCGAGAGUUGACUCACCUAAGGCAGAAGAUGAGGAUUGGGAGAGCUGUCUCUUCCCUUCUCAUCCAGCACGUCAAGAACACAAUAAAGACCUUUGAGGAGCUACUCAGCAGCAAUAGCAUUGGCCACUACAUGGAACAGCACUUUUGUGAGCAGCUGGCUAGGGGAAGCCAGCUGGCAGAGAGCCUCGCCAGCAAAUUCAGCACUGUAUCUUAAGGAAGAUGCAUAAAACGGACAAAAUGAAUGGAGUCCCAGAGACCACGCGGGAUUCGAGGUCCCAGACACAGCCCCAGAUCUUCUCCAGCAGCCAUGCCCAGACCGCCAUGCCUGGCCCUCCCAGUAGCACCACCUCCUCCAUGUUUGAAGAACAGGAAGUUCACCCUGCUAUGGAUGGAGCCAAUGCCAGCCCUGCCGUUCCUGCUGAUUCAGCUACACUGCCUAGCAACCGUUCAGGAGCCGGAUCUGCCCAGCCCUCCUGUCCUCUGAGUGGUACCACACCGCAUCAGACCACUCCGUUGAACAGGACACUGGAACUUGGGCAACAUGGCAGCAGUGGCCCAUGGGACAAGAUGAGGCCUCAGAAAAUGAACGCAUCGGGGAACCCAUGCAUCUUCUCUUUGUACCGUCCAAUUCCAAACCCUCAGUGAUACGCGACAGGGGCCGACCUGCUGGAAAAGAAUCUUGCUGACAUCCAAAGCCUGUGCCAGUGCUUGGAGAAAUCUGUCUGCAUCAACGACUGCCUGCAGGAGAGGCUGGAACACGUGCUUAGUAAUGCUGACCAAGGAAAAUGUAGGAAAGGCCAAAGUCAUUGAUUUCUGUCCACGUCUAGGGAGCCUCAAAAGGGAGUGGGCUCUCAGGGGAGAGCUCAUUGGUGUGCAAUAUUUCAUUUGUUCCUUGCAAUCAGCCUAGAGAGGGAAGUAGAGCAGGUACUAUCGUCCCCCGCUUCAUAAAUGAGGAAACAGAGCUCAGGAGUGAUUCCCUCAAGGAGAGCAAGGUCUCCUUCUCAGGGUUGUCUGACAUCAUGCCCUUUGUUGUAACUCCAUAUAUACUGCCUGGUGAUGCUCCUGGGCUUGUGACCUGAUUGUCCAGUGGUAGACCCAUGGCCUCCAUGGUGCCCACUUCAGCAGAGGGAAGACCACAUCCCAUCCUCAUGCUGCUACUACAUGUGGAUAUCACCUACCACUUCCCUGGGUAUUCCCACACUCUUCUCCAUGGAUGAUCUCACUUGGAAGCCAAUAUCUCCCCAUCCCACUUCCCUUCUCAAGCACAGAAGACUGAUGGCAAGGAUACCUACAACAUCACAGCAGCAGCCAGUUAGGGGGAAAAACCCUGUUCUCCAUUGCAUGGAUAUUGCUUGUGAGAAUGUAGUUUCCUGUGGUGUACCCUGCAAAAACUGAGCCUCAGUCACAUUACACUGUUGUUCCAGUGCACGAGGCCCCCAGAUUUUCUGCUUGGCUGGGAUUGACAUUUUGGUAGGUACAGGAAAGUGUAUCUUUGAAAGCACCUGUUACCCAAAUGUGUGACUUGUCUGGUUAUUUUUAUUCUCUGGGACAGUAUCCAUGGAUAGGACCUGGAGGCCAUACCCCAGUUCUAAAACAAGAAAAAUACUUUCAGGGCAGUAAAUUGGAGUUUUCAGGCUUACGAGGGCAAAUCCCAAGCUGAGGACACUUCCAGAUUCCUUUUAUCUGUGGCAAAAGCAAAGAGAGGAGGGUGGUGAGGACAAAAAUUUCCCAGACCCACACAGUCCAAAAUUAGAAGAGUUAUUCUCAGUCUAGAUUCCCAAUCUGUUUAUGGUCCGACCUACACGUCCCAGACUCGCAGCUCUAGGAGUGAGUAGCUUUGGGAAAUCCACAUUUCAUGUAUAAUCCUCUUCCUCCAUCUUUGGAGAUAACCAGAGGGUCCCUGGCUGUCAACUGGAUACUGGCUUAGUGUCUCACUCCCUGCCUUCCCCACUUCCAUCUGAGUGUGCACUAGGAGGGGAAACGAUGUCAGUUUCUGUUUGCAGCAAUACUACAGUGAAUUCUGUUAGGUCUUUCCAGACUUCACUGCAGCUCUGUCUCUCUUCCAGGUACUCCCCAGUUAGCCCCAGAUGUCCUCCUUGCAACCCCUCAUUCCUACACUCAGAGUCACUCCUCUGGGUCUGAUCAAGAAUUCCUGUGACACAAUGCCUGGAUGGUCUAGCAGAACGUUGUCCAGAGCUUUUCCAGUCCUAUUCAAUAGCAUUCUUGGGUGUGCAACAUCAUUUCCUGUGUGGACUGGGAGACAGCAGACUUGCCUUUAUUUAAAUGGAUCAAAUUAAUAAAUUAUUAUUUAAAAAUUA